AUGAAAUGUACAAAUAUUAACGUACGCAACGUACUAGAUUUGAAUUUAAAAAAUAAAAUAAAAGAAAAUACAGACUUAAAUGAUAAUGAGAUAAAUGUUAUAUAUAAACGUUUUACAUCCAUAAGUACAAAUGGGAAAUUAAAUUAUGAAAAAUUUGAAAAAAGUUUAGGAAUAUUAGGAACAGUCAAAAAUGCAUAUUUAUAUCAAUCAAUUUUUAAAGCAUUUGAUUUUAACAAUGAUAAUUUUUUAGAUUUUUAUGAAUUUUGUUUGGCUAUUAGUAUUAUGCUAAAAGGUGACAAAAAAGAAAAACUUAAACUGUCUUAUCGUAUUUUACAUUCUGGUGGUUUUAAUUUGAUACAUGACUUGAGUGAGGAUAUUCAAACUAAGAUCGACGACAAAAACGACAAAAAUAACGACAAAAAUAACGACAAAAAUAACGACAAAAANNNNNNNNNNAACGACAAAAAUAACGACAAAAACGACAAAAAUAACGACAGUAACAACGAACACAAGUUUUAUAUAAAUCCCAAACCGAGUAACAUAUCAAAUAAUGAAACAUUAAAUAAAAUACCAAAUAAAAAUAAAAUAAAACAAAAAAAAAGUUAUGACAAUUAUAUUACUUAUGAAGAUUUUGAAAAAAUAGUUGUUAGCAUUAACGAUAUAAAAAAACAAUUGUUAGGAAUAAAUGAAGAUGUGUCAAAGGUACAAAUAAAAUAUACUUUUAAAUCGCUAAGUAUUUUAUGUGAUGAUGGAAAAUAUAGAAUGAAUUUUGACUGUUAUAAAAAAGCAUUAAAAUGUAAUGAGUUUUUAAAAUUAUUAGGUAUACAUACAGAAGUAGCAGAUAGUUUUGUUAAAAAAGAUAAUAUAUAUAAAAUAAAAAAAAAUAAAAUUCUAAAAAAUAAAAAAAAUAAAGAUAUAAUAACAUGUGUUGAUAAAUCAGAACAAAUUACAUGUAAUAGUAAAAUUUUACAAAAAAAAAAUUCUAUUAAUAUAAACAAAAAUUAUCAUACGAAUAAUAACAAUAAUAAUAUAAAAGAUGUUAACAAUAGUUAUUUGAAAAAAAAAAAAAAUAUAUUAACAGCAAUAAUAAUGAAGAUAGUAAUAACCAUAUAA
rnacentral:lncRNA from 1 species